rnacentral:rRNA from 1 species
UUCCAGACUCCUACGGGAGGCAGCAGUGGGGAAUAUUGGGCAAUGGGCGCAAGCCUGACCCAGCAACGCCGCGUGAAGGAAGAAGGCUUUCGGGUUGUAAACUUCUUUUCUCAGGGACGAAGAAAGUGACGGUACCUGAGGAAUAAGCCACGGCUAACUACGUGCCAGCAGCCGCGGUAAUACGUAGGUGGCAAGCGUUAUCCGGAUUUACUGGGUGUAAAGGGCGUGUAGGCGGGAAAGCAAGUCAGAUGUGAAAACCAUGGGCUCAACCUGUGGCCUGCAUUUGAAACUGUUCUUCUUGAGUACUGGAGAGGCAGACGGAAUUCCUGGUGUAGCGGUGAAAUGCGUAGAUAUCAGGAGGAACACCGGUGGCGAAGGCGGCCUGCUGGACUGCAACUGACGUUGAGGCCCGAAAGCGUGGGGAGCAAACAGGAUUAGAUACCCGCGUAU